rnacentral:rRNA from 1 species
CGCGGCCUAUCAGCUUGUUGGUGGGGUAAUGGCCUACCAAGGUGACGACGGGUAGCCGGCCUGAGAGGGCGACCGGCCACACUGGGACUGAGACACGGCCCAGACUCCUACGGGAGGCAGCAGUGGGGAAUAUUGCGCAAUGGGCGGAAGCCUGACGCAGCGACGCCGCGUGAGGGAUGAAGGCCUUCGGGUCGUAAACCUCUUUCAGCAGGGAAGAAGCGUGAGUGACGGUACCUGCAGAAGAAGCACCGGCUAACUACGUGCCAGCAGCCGCGGUAAUACGUAGGGUGCAAGCGUUGUCCGGAAUUAUUGGGCGUAAAGAGCUCGUAGGCGGUCUGUCGCGUCUGCUGUGAAAACUCAGGGCUUAACCCUGAGCUUGCAGUGGGUACGGGCAGACUAGAGUGCGGUAGGGGAGACUGGAAUUCCUGGUGUAGCGGUGAAAUGCGCAGAUAUCAGGAGGAACACCGGUGGCGAAGGCGGGUCUCUGGGCCGUAACUGACGCUGAGGAGCGAAAGCAUGGGGAGCGAACAGGAUUAGAUACCCUGGUAGUCCAUGCCGUAAACGUUGGGCGCUAGGUGUGGGGACCUUUCCAUGGUUUCCGUGCCGCAGCUAACGCAUUAAGCGCCCCGCCUGGGGAGUACG